AUGCAAGUCGAACGGUGAACACGGAGCUUGCUCUGUGGGAUCAGUGGCGAACGGGUGAGUAACACGUGAGCAACCUGCCCCUGACUCUGGGAUAAGCGCUGGAAACGGCGUCUAAUACUGGAUAUGUGACGUGAUCGCAUGGUCUGCGUCUGGAAAGAAUUUCGGUUGGGGAUGGGCUCGCGGCCUAUCAGCUUGUUGGUGAGGUAAUGGCUCACCAAGGCGUCGACGGGUAGCCGGCCUGAGAGGGUGACCGGCCACACUGGGACUGAGACACGGCCCAGACUCCUACGGGAGGCAGCAGUGGGGAAUAUUGCACAAUGGGCGCAAGCCUGAUGCAGCAACGCCGCGUGAGGGAUGACGGCCUUCGGGUUGUAAACCUCUUUUAGCAGGGAAGAAGCGAAAGUGACGGUACCUGCAGAAAAAGCGCCGGCUAACUACGUGCCAGCAGCCGCGGUAAUACGUAGGGCGCAAGCGUUAUCCGGAAUUAUUGGGCGUAAAGAGCUCGUAGGCGGUUUGUCGCGUCUGCUGUGAAAUCCGGAGGCUCAACCUCCGGCCUGCAGUGGGUACGGGCAGACUAGAGUGCGGUAGGGGAGAUUGGAAUUCCUGGUGUAGCGGUGGAAUGCGCAGAUAUCAGGAGGAACACCGAUGGCGAAGGCAGAUCUCUGGGCCGUAACUGACGCUGAGGAGCGAAAGGGUGGGGAGCAAACAGGCUUAGAUACCCUGGUAGUCCACCCCGUAAACGUUGGGAACUAGUUGUGGGGUCCAUUCCACGGAUUCCGUGACGCAGCUAACGCAUUAAGUUCCCCGCCUGGGGAGUACGGCCGCAAGGCUAAAACUCAAAGGAAUUGACGGGGACCCGCACAAGCGGCGGAGCAUGCGGAUUAAUUCGAUGCAACGCGAAGAACCUUACCAAGGCUUGACAUAUACGAGAACGGGCCAGAAAUGGUCAACUCUUUGGACACUCGUAAACAGGUGGUGCAUGGUUGUCGUCAGCUCGUGUCGUGAGAUGUUGGGUUAAGUCCCGCAACGAGCGCAACCCUCGUUCUAUGUUGCCAGCACGUAAUGGUGGGAACUCAUGGGA
rnacentral:rRNA from 1 species